GCUCCCAGGGCGCAGUGGUCACUGCACUCGCCUUGCACGCGGGAGACCCGGGUUCGAUUCCCGGCGGGGUCA
rfam:Asian citrus Psyllid, Diaphorina citri - Florida Strain, whole genome shotgun sequence.